rnacentral:tRNA from 1 species
AAGGAUUUAAGUUAAUAAGGAAACUUUUAGCCUUCAAAGCUAACCAUAGAUAGUAUCUAAGCCUUA